rnacentral:lncRNA from 1 species
AGAAAACAAAAUUGGCAUCAAGAAUGGAGGCAUAAAUCCUAAAUUCGAUAAAAACAAAAAGAGUUUUGAGAUGCCCAAGUUUUGCUGAAAUUGUCUCAAAAAGAGCCAAGUUUAAUCUCCUUAAAGAAACACCAGUUCAGUCCAUGCAGUCCAUGUUUGGUAUGCUGUUCACCAGCAGAACUCAAGGAGGAUGGUAACGAUGGUUGU